rnacentral:rRNA from 1 species
GAUGAACGCUAGCGGCAGGCCUAACACAUGCAAGUCGAGGGGCAGCACAUAAAGUGGUUUACUUCUUUUGGUGGCGACCGGCGGACGGGUGCGUAACGCGUCUGCAACCUGCCUCCAACAGGGGGAUAACGGAGAGAAAUUUCCACUAAUACCCCAUAAUAUCAGAAUCGGCAUCGGUUUUGGUGGAAAACUCCGGUGGUUGGAGCUGGGCAUGCGUUGUAUUAGUUAGUUGGUGAGUUAACGGCUCACCAAGUCAACGAUACCUAGGGGGAAUCAGAGGUUAGCCCCCCACAAUGGUACUGAGAGACGGACCAAACUCCUACGGGAGGCAGCAGUGAGGAAUAUUGGUCAAUGGGGGCAACCCUGAACCAGCCAUGCCGCGUGCAGGAAGACGGCUCUAUGAGUUGUAAACUGCUUUUACAAGGGGAUAAAUCGGUGUACGUGUACACCGUUGAAGGUACCUUGGGAAUAAGGAUCGGCUAACUCCGUGCCAGCCGCCGCCGUAA